CGUAGGGUGCGAGCGUUAAUCGGAAUUACUGGGCGUAAAGCGUGCGCAGGCGGUUUUGUAAGCCAGAUGUGAAAUCCCCGGGCUCAACCUGGGAAUGGCAUUUGGGACUGCAAGGCUUGAGUGCGGCAGAGGAGACUGGAAUUCCUGGUGUAGCAGUGAAAUGCGUAGAUAUCGGGAGGAAAACCGAUGGCGAAGGCAGGUCUCUGGGCUGACACUGACGCUCAUGCACGAAAGCGUGGGGAGCAAACAGGAUUAGAUACCCUGGUAGUCCACGCCCUAAACGAUGUCGACUGGUUGUUGGGGGUUUGACACUCUCAGUAACGAAGCUAACGCGUGAAGUCGACCGCCUGGGGAGUACGGCCGCAAGGUUA
rnacentral:rRNA from 1 species